GCAAGAUGUUCACAGCAAAUUUUUUUGCUCGAAUGCUAGGCUCUUGCUCGAGCUUAGAUCAGGAAAUGUUUAUCAGGACUGCUCCUGACUAUAUAUAAGAAAAAAGUAUCUAAGGUCCUUAAUCAUACAUCUUUCGCUUUUUUGGGUUUGAUUAGAUACGUAUAUGUCAAUCGGAUAAUGAUUUUGCGUUUGAUAUUAAUCUCAGAAGUUUGUUUUGUAAUAAACCACUUCUAUACAGUAUUAGUCAAUGCGCGCUUGAGUUUCAAAACCCUCAAUCAUUGACACUAUUAAUCAACUGUUAAUCUGCGUUUUGUCUGAUCUCUUUUGCUUGUCCGCUCUGUAAUCAGAGUUCUCAACCUAAUUGAUCCCAGCACAUUUCUAGUUCUCUUCUUUUCUCUGGUAUCCUAUUAUUUACAGCUCUGUAAAAGCUAACUGUGAUUGGAAAUUGAAGCAACAGAGAACGGUUUUACCUUUAUAUCUAUUUGUAACUUUGUAAGGAUAGCCAUCUAGUACGGAGUAAGUAAAUUUCCAGAUAAAAUAAAGGAUAGAUUUAGAUUUAGGCAUCUGAGAAUAAAUGUGUAAAAAUUUUCUGAAUUUGAGAGGUAUUUCAUCUGUCUUUCCUUAGGGCUGAUAUAGAAUGCACAGAGGAGGUUACUAAUAUGACAGAUUAAGGGGAAAAAAGAAGGGUUACUAAUCUGAAGUUCCCUUUUACGCAUACUAAGUUGGUAAUCAGACUGGACACAGCAGGCUUAGCAGCAAAUCAAGGUAAUAGCAAUGAUAGGAAAUGAUACCUGGUCAGGCACCCAUAGAACUCUUUUUUCUAAAAUCUCGAUCAUAUAACGGCACACAUAGUAUCCGGAGUCAUUGCUGUUUUGAGGUUGACGAGGACACUACAAUAUAAGGAAUAAAAGAAAUACAGUAAUACAUCAGGUAAGUUAAGUUAUUGUAUUAAUGUACUACAUCAUAGUAUUAUAGAGAACACAGAUGAAAUACCUCUGGUUGCAUCCACCCAAUUUUUGGAUUCCUUUUUACUUUCUUAAUAUCCUUUCGAUAGAGAAUGCUAAAUCUUCUAAUUCCCCUGCGUAAAAAAAAUGAUAGCUCAAUGAGCUUCUUUUUCGAUAUUAAUGGAUAUCCAUUAUGAAGAAACAGGAGGCUAAGGAAAAUUGACAAGGAAAAUUGACAAGUAUGGUUAACACAUACUCAUUGAUGUCUCUUUUAAUGAACUCAGGGAUCUCCUUUCCUGCUCCAGCCGGAUCCAACCAAUACACUACAGCAUUCCAAGGGCUAAUGGCUGCUAACAUCCAGUUCUGACUAUAUACACAAAUUAUAAGAGAAAAUAAUAGCAUAUUAAUAGA